UGGGGAAUAUUGGACAAUGGGGGCAACCCUGAUCCAGCCAUGCCGCGUGAGUGAAGAAGGCCUUCGGGUUGUAAAGCUCUUUUAGAUGAGAAGAUAAUGACGGUAUCAUCAGAAAAAGCACCGGCUAACUUCGUGCCAGCAGCCGCGGUAAUACGAAGGGUGCGAGCGUUGUUCGGAAUUACUGGGCGUAAAGGGCGCGUAGGCGGUUAGAUAAGAUAGGGGUGAAAUUCCAAGGCUUAACCUUGGGACUGCCUUUAUAACUAUUUAGCUAGAGUAUGGUAGAGGUAAGCGGAAUACCCAGUGUAGAGGUGAAAUUCGUAGAUAUUGGGUAGAACACCGGAUGCGAAGGCGGCUUACUGGGCCAUUACUGACGCUGAGGCGCGAAAGCGUGGGUAGCAAACA
rnacentral:rRNA from 1 species